UGGGGAAUUUUGGACAAUGGGCGAAAGCCUGAUCCAGCAAUGCCGCGUGAGUGAAGAAGGCCUUCGGGUUGUAAAGCUCUUUUGUCAGGGAAGAAACGGUGAGAGCUAAUAUCUCUUGCUAAUGACGGUACCUGAAGAAUAAGCACCGGCUAACUACGUGCCAGCAGCCGCGGUAAUACGUAGGGUGCAGGCGUUAAUCGGAAUUACUGGGCGUAAAGCGUGCGCAGGCGGUUGUAUUAGUCGUUCGUAAAAUCUACGAGCUUAACUUGUAGGCGGCGAACGAAACGGUACGACUUGAGGUUUGGAGAGGUGCGUGGAACUCACGGUGUAGGGGUGAAAUCCGUUGAUAUCGUGGGGAACACCAAAGGCGAAGGCAGCGCACUGGCCAAAAUCUGACGCUCACACACGAAAGCUAGGGUAGCGAAGAGGAUUAGAUACCCAGGUAGUCCCUGAGCGGGCUGG
rnacentral:rRNA from 1 species